rnacentral:rRNA from 1 species
UACGGAGGAUGCGAGCGUUAUCCGGAUUUAUUGGGUUUAAAGGGUGCGCAGGCGGAGGCACAAGUCAGCGGUAAAAUCGCGGGGCUCAACCCCGCUCCGCCGUUGAAACUGUGUCCCUUGAGUGCGCGAAGGGUAGGCGGAAUGCGUGGUGUAGCGGUGAAAUGCAUAGAUAUCACGAAGAACCCCGAUUGCGAAGGCAGCCUGCCGCAGCGUUACUGACGCUGAAGCUCGAAAGCGCGGGUAUCAAACAGG